rnacentral:piRNA from 1 species
UUCCGUUUGAAUAUACUCAAC